AUCCUAGAAAAGAGGCCUCUCAGGGUGGGGAGGUGAUUUAAAUCCUUAUGAGAUAGACGCAGCUCCCCACCUCUUCCAGACCUUCACAAACCCAAACUGGAACCACCGGAAAAACGACUGACAAAUGGCCUCAAGACCCAGGCAGAGACGCGGGGAGAGGGUGACCAGAAGAAAGGCCGACGUACAAGAUACCGCCCUCUGGCACACAGGGCACAUGUGUCCCAACACACACACGCACACACAGACGGGCACAGAGUGAAAGAGCGAGAAAGGAGAGAGAGAGAAAUAAGAGAGAGACUUACGCACACACACAAACGCACAAAGACAUAGGGCAGUGGCACGGUAACACCCACCCCCAGGCAGCCCCUGAAGCUGCUGUGUUCUGCUCUCUGCAACUACGACCCACCAAUGAGAGAGCAGCUCAUGGGCACACAAGCAAACCUCUCCUUUUUUGAAGAUACUCACUGGCACACCGUCCAUGCAGUCCUGAGGCUGGGAUCCCGCCCUGCUUCUCCUGCCCUCCGCCAGCGGUUUCUUCCUCUUGGACGAC
rnacentral:lncRNA from 1 species